rnacentral:rRNA from 1 species
UACGUAGGGGGCAAGCGUUGUCCGGAAUCAUUGGGCGUAAAGAGCGUGUAGGCGGCUUGGUAAGUCCGCUGUGAAAGUCCAGGGCUCAACCCUGGAAUGCCGGUGGAAACUGCCAAGCUCGAGUCCGGAAGAGGCGAGUGGAAUUCCUGGUGUAGCGGUGAAAUGCGCAGAUAUCAGGAGGAACACCAAUGGCGAAGGCAGCUCGCUGGGACGGUACUGACGCUGAGACGCGAAAGCCAGGGGAGCAAACGGG